AUUGAACGCUGGCGGCAUGCCUUACACAUGCAAGUCGAACGGUAACGCGGGGCAACCUGGCGACGAGUGGCGAACGGGGGAGUAAUGUAUCGGAACGUGCCCAGUCGUGGGGGAUAACUGCUCGAAAGAGCAGCUAAUACCGCAUACGACCUGAGGGGGAAAGCGGGGGAUCGCAAGACCGCGCGCAAUUGGAGCGGCCGAUAGCAGAUUAGGGAGAUGGUGAGGUAAGGGCUCACCAAGGCGACGAGCCGUAGCUGGCCUGAGAGGGUGAUCAGCCACACUGGAACUGAGACACGGGCCAGACUCCUACGGGAGGCAGCAGUGGGGAAUAUUGGACAAUGGGCGAAAGCCUGAUCCAGCCAUGCCGCGUGUGUGAAGAAGGUCUUCGGAUUGUAAACUGCUUUUGUACGGAGCGAAAAGGCUCCCUCUAAUACAGGGGGCUCAUGACGGUACCGUAAGAAUAAGCACCGGCUAACUACGUGCCAGCCGCCGCAGUAACAC
rnacentral:rRNA from 1 species